rnacentral:rRNA from 1 species
UACGUAGGGGGCAAGCGUUAUCCGGAUUUACUGGGUGUAAAGGGAGCGUAGACGGCCAUGCAAGUCUGAUGUGAAAACCCGGGGCUCAACCCCGGGACUGCAUUGGAAACUGUGCGGCUGGAGUGCAGGAGAGGUAAGCGGAAUUCCUGGUGUAGCGGUGAAAUGCGUAGAUAUCAGGAGGAACACCAGUGGCGAAGGCAGCUUACAAAUCUAUAUCGGACGCUGAGGCACGAAAGCGUGGGGAGCAAACAGG